GUGCUUGCUUCAGCAGCACAUAUGCUAAAAUUGGAACAAUACAGAGAAGAUUAGCAUGACUUCUAUGCAAGGAUGACAGGCAAAUUUGUGAAGUGUUCCAUGUUUAA
ensembl:snRNA U6 U6 spliceosomal RNA